ensembl:miRNA MIR496 microRNA mir-496
GACACGUCAGAAGCCAGCAUCCGAGUCGGGUACUCGAAUGGAGGUUGUCCAUGGUGUGUUCAUUUUAUUUAUGAUGAGUAUUACAUGGCCAAUCUCCUUUCAGUACUAAAUUCUUCUUGGG